UGAACUCUGCUACUAUAAACAUAGGUACAACUAUGUCUUCAAAAAUCUGUUUUCUGUUGGAUAUAUACCCAGUAGAAUUGCUGGAUCUUAUGGUAAUCCUAUGUUUUAAUUUUUUGAUGAAGCUCCAUGCUGUUUUCCAGAGUAGCUGCAUCAUUGUUACAUCCCCACCAUCAGUGCAUAAGGGUUCUAAUUUCUCCACAGCCUCACCAACACCUGUUAGCUUGGGGGGGGGGGGGGUUCCUCUGUAAAAUAAAAUAUAUACAUUAUAUAUAUACACACUUAUAGACAUAUAUACUUACAUUAUAUAUACAUAUAUACAUACAAUUAUAUAUAUAUUUAUAGCUUUUACAUCCACGGUAAAGUUUUCAGUUUAAGUUAUUGAAAGUUGAAAAAAAUUGGCAACAAUUGUCUGAAACUUUUCAAAUACAAAAAAUGAAUAUUGUUAGUGGAAUCAUGGUCCCCAGAACUUUUUAAAAUUUUAACUUCAAGAUCUUUUUAAUUUUAGAUUUCGACUUCUUUCUUUUGAACACCCUGCCUUACUCUAGUCCAUCAGGAAGGUGAGAAAGGGUCCAUUCAAUGGUAAACAUAGGAACGGUUGGUUGGUAGUGUCAGAAAGGGGGAAGAGGGGACGGAAGGGAAGAUGUUGGCAUUCCGACUGGCUUCCCUUGGAGAUUUCCUUUCCAACCACUGCCACAAGCACCUUCGAGAACACCAAUGGGCACUCUCAGGAAGAAGCGGGAUUUGCCUGUUCCCAGAACACCUAAGACCUGGGGUUCUCUUCACCAGCAGUAGCCGCCCAGGCUGCCAGAGGAGGCUGUCGGUGGCUCAUACCCAAGCAACAUGGUGGGAAGCAUAGGAACUACAUCUUGGAAGACAGAAUGGCCUGUACUGCUUUAUCAACACGUCUGCCUUACUCUCACCAUCAGACUGCUACAGCAAAUUUGUACACAAGCACCUAUUUCCCUUCUGCCCCAGUCCUACUUUGUUACUUGCCAUUAAGCCCUUUGUAUGUUUGCAAAUUUACCUCACAUAAAUCAUUCACUCAACAACUAUUCAUUAAACACCUAACACAUAAACGCCACGAGUGGUUAAACGAGACAAAGUCCCUACCCCCGUGGAAUUAAUAAUCUAGUUGAAUAUCAUUAAUCAAGUAAUCACAUAACUACAUGUCUAGCAUCUCAAGGAUCAUAAAGAAAAAAAUGCAGGGAUAAUGAAAGCAUAACUGAGGGACCCUUAAAUUACAUAUAGGGCUGAGGGACAGUUAGAAACUUCUGGGAACAGUGACAGGCCGAUGUAGAAGCACCUUCUAGGUUAAGAAGGCAUAUGCAAGGGCCCGGAGGUGGGAGUGCCCAGUGAAUAAAGGACGUGAUCGAUAGGGUGACUAGAGCUUGCUAAGGGAGAGGGCAUGGAGGGGUGGGGAAAGCUGGAGUAGGUGGGCACCUGGUCCUGCAGAGCUGGAAAGCCUGUGAAGCACGUGGGAUUUCAUGCUAAGUACAAUGUGAAGUUACAGAGGCAUUUUCAGGUUACAUGCUAGUAGCUGUUUUAAAAAAAAAUCGAUGCACUCUUAUAGGAUACUCUCUAAGAUUUAUCAAGUGAAAAAAGAAAGGUGUUCAACAGUAUAUGUACAUCAUGCUAUCAUUUCUGGGGGAAAGGGAAAAUAUACGUUGAUGCAUAAAUGAGUAUUUCUGGAAAAAAUACCAGACAGCAUCUCGAGAGGGAACUAGGUGGUAUGGCUAGGAGGGAGGAGUGGGAGGAACGGGUUUUACUGUGUAUCUUUUUGUAUCUUUUGAAUUAGGUAUCAUGCUUAAGAAUUAUCUACAGAACAGUAAAUUAAAUUAAAAUUUAAAGUCACUCUGGCUGCUGUGUCAGAACGACUAAGGGCUUAAAACUUAGGAAAAAUACCAGAACAGUUAAAAUGAAAAAGACCAAUGAUUACUGUUGGUAAUGUGGGGAGUCCGUGGAAUUUUCACAUGCUGCGUGCAAGUGCAAACUGAUGUAACCAUUUUGGGAGACUGUGGGGCAGCAGCUACUGAAAUGCAUCAGACACACGACAGGACCCCAAAUUCCAUCCUUGGGUAUACACUCAACAGAAAUGAAUACAUAUGUUCCCCAAGACAUUUAUAAAAAUCCAUUAGAGCACUAUAGGUAAAUCCCAAAUGGAAAGCCAUGGGCUUAAUGAAGAGUAGAAUGGAUAAAUUGUAGGACACUCACACAAUACUACAUACAGCAUUGAAAACUCAGUGGCAUGCAACAACUCAUAGCAUUAAGUAAAUCAGACACAAAAGGAUAUAAGCCGCUUAAUUCCAUAUUUACAUAGUUAGAAAAUAAGCAAACUAAUCUAUGGUCACAGAAAUCAGGCCACCAGUUACGUUAGCAGAAGAAUGGAGCUAUCCAGAAGAGCAGGCAAGCUUCUGGGUGCUAGCAACAUCGUUGCCC
rnacentral:lncRNA from 1 species